rnacentral:tRNA from 1 species
GCUACUUUAGCUGAUGUGGUCAUAGCGGUGGUUUGAAGUACCAUGGAACUAGGUUCGAUUCCUAGAGGUAGCACCA